rnacentral:rRNA from 1 species
AUGCACGCUGGCGGCGUGCCUAAUACCUGCAAGUCGCGCGAACGGACGAGAAGCUUGCUUCUCUGAUGUUAGCGGCGGACGGGUGAGUAACACGUGGAUAACCUACCUAUAAGACUGGGAUAACUUCGGGAAACCGGAGCUAAUACCGGAUAAUAUUUUGAACCGCAUGGUUCAAAAGUGAAAGACGGUCUUGCUGUCACUUAUAGAUGGAUCCGCGCUGCAUUAGCUAGUUGGUAAGGUAACGGCUUACCAAGGCAACGAUGCAUAGCCGACCUGAGAGGGUGAUCGGCCACACUGGAACUGAGACACGGUCCAGACUCCUACGGGAGGCAGCAGUAGGGAAUCUUCCGCAAUGGGCGAAAGCCUGACGGAGCAACGCCGCGUGAGUGAUGAAGGUCUUCGGAUCGUAAAACUCUGUUAUUAGGGAAGAACAUAUGUGUAAGUAACUGUGCACAUCUUGACGGUACCUAAUCAGAAAGCCACGGCUAACUACGUG